GACCCUGAUUUACCUCAGGAGUUUGAAAGCUCUUCAUGAGAAGAUUCAUGGAAACAAUGUCAAGAAGCUUCUACUUCCAAUUCAUAUGUCAUCUGCCCAAAAGUUGUGAUUCCUAUACUCAACUUGGACCUAAAUCAAAAUGGGAAAUAAGAUAAAAGAAGCAGAAAUGCCAGUAGUCCAUGCUGGGAAUUUUGUCUUAGAGCUAGUCUAUUACUAAUCUAGAGAGUCAUCUAUCUAGGCUACCACAUUUUCAUAAAGAUUGUAAUAGGCAGUCUUAAAGUUUGUCUCUUACUUGAAGUACACCAAGGGCCAUCGCUGAGUGAAAUACAAACAAUAUGUUGGAAUUAGAAAAUGACUUCAGGUAAAUUAAAAGUAAACAAAAGGCAAAUUAUUAAAAACAUUCUUUUCUAUCGCUUUUUGUAGAAAACAUUUAGUUGUAUUGGGAAAUUUCUAUUUCGAAGUUUAUUAAAACUAACUUUUGUGGGGUUUUUUUAGCAGAGAUUAGAAAAGGUUUUCAGAGAAGGGAAAAUGCCAUGAGUGAAUAGACUUUUAGGCAAUAGCGCUGAUUAAAUAAAUGCCGAUGUUUGGCAAUAGGGCUGUGGA
rnacentral:sRNA from 1 species